rnacentral:lncRNA from 1 species
CUUUCAGCUACACUUAAAAAUUCUACUACACUUAAAAAUUCUGACUUUUUCAAAUAGGUGGCUUGUAUCAUAAUGGACUUAUUUGUUUAACUUCCUAUUUGAGAAGAGGGGAGCAGAUUGGUUCUCAUCCAUACUUUCACGUACGAGGACAACCUGAAGCACAUUUCUACAGCAGAAACACCUGCUGGAGUCAGCAAUGAGCACUACUACCUGUGUAGUGGAAGGAUUGUUCAAAUAUGGCCUCGGAGCAGCCUUUGGGGAAACAUGGGGAGUAAAAUAAGUCAGCUAUGUCCUUUGCUCUUGGAUACCUUUCCAGAAGGCUUGCUUGGAAGUGAGGGGAAUGGUCUGAUUUGAAUUCUGUGGAAAUGCUGUGCAGUAGCAUUCCAGCAUAGGCUGAGACAGGCCCAUGUACUGUACGUAAGUGGAAGAAUACAAUCAGCUUCAAGAUGAAAGUGCUUAAAUCUGUUCACUGCUGCUUAUGCUGAUUAUCAUGGCCCCAAGGCAUAGUUACAGAAGAGGGAUGCACUCAGGAGGGUGACUUCAGAAUUUGCACAAAUUGUUACUGAUUAUGUAUGUGUGUUUUUAAGUGUUCAUAGAUGGAUGAUUGUUGAUACACUAACGAUGUACCUUUUGGAAAUGCAUAAAGAGGAACGAGUCUUGAUUUGCACGUGGCUUUCCAUUAUUUUACCUUUUAUUACAGUCCACAUGUCUCCUGUUUUAUAAACAGGAGCUGUAAUAAUACACUUAGGAAGAUCUUCGUAUGCACAUACAUAUAUAUGCAUAUUGCUGCCAGAUAGGUACCUUAACAUUUUCUGGUUAUUAUAAAAUGCAUUACAGCCUCUAAAGCUCAUUUUGAAAAGAUAUCUAUAAUCAAUUAACUGAUGCUCUAGAGCAGCCUUCAUAUGUUGGUUUAAUUACUGCAGUGUUAAAGCAGAGCAGGCUGCUGCAGGACUCCUGUGUGUGUUUGUGUUUUGCACUAGCACUUUGCAGAUGCUGUCCUUCUCUGGUUACGCUAACACUUCAUGUAGUCCUGUUCUAAUCAUACCUGUAGGAUAAAAGAAAUAAGGAGGAGGUAUUUCCAGAAGAACUAGUGUACUGCAGUAAGCUUCCAAGUAAAAAAAAAGAUGAGAACUGCUCAGGUCUCAUUUGAGCAGAGUUUUCUGACACUGAUUCUGCUAUACAGUUGUUGGAGCUCUUCACUAGAGUCAAUUUAAACCACUGAAAAACGAAGGCUUCGUAUUUAAAACCUCGUGGUGUUUUUCCUACUUCUGAUCUCUUUCCCAUGGGAAAGAUUUGUGCCAGACCCUCGGUUCUGAGUUGAGUUUGUGUAGUCGUUAGUUAUAGAACUCGGCUUUGUGAUACUAAACAGAAAUUCAGUGUAGAUAAAUGCUUCAGGUAAGAAUUACCCUGUCUGUUACUCUUGUCACUUAUUUCCGUGUGAUGAAGGAUCUAUCGUAGUGGAAGUUAAUAACUUUUCUGGGUUAACUUUUUUAUUUUUGUUCUUAUUUCAGUGUUUGCAGCCACGUAGGGAAUGCCUCA